CAAACCUUGGGCAUUAGUCAAGGCGAAUUGAUUAUUGAUUAUUAUCAUCAAGAUAUAAAAUUCCUUUAACAAUUGGUCCUAUUCGAGCCGGAUCUCAAACUGCCGCUGUCGUUCCAAGGAGACACCGAAACCGUGCACGGGCGGAUGAAAUAUCCGUAAAUCAAAGAUCUGGUCCUUUUCUGUGGGUUCUUUACAGGCCGGUGGCAAACUGGUACGCGACAGAGGUGGUGACGAGAUUCAACGAACAUUGAAAAACUCACCUGCAAAUUAUAAGGUUAGUAUACUUUAUUCAUACUUUUGGUGAAUAGCACCUGUAUGAUUACAUUAAAUAAGGGGUGAGUGAUAUACCUAUAGGUCUGCAUUGCAUAGUGAAAUGAGUGAUACACCUGUGUGUCUGCAUUGUAUGGUGAAAUGAGAAAUACACCUGUAUGUCGGCAUUGUAUGAUGAAAUGGGAAAUACACCUGUAUGUCUGCAUUGCAUGAUGGAAUAAGGGACACAAUUGGGUGUUGGCAUUUGAUGAGAAAGCGAUUGUUGAGAGUGUAAGGCAAAAGAGAUUGUUGAGAGUGAAAGGCAAAAGCGAUUGUUGAGAGUGUAAGGCAAAAGAGAUUGUUGAGAGUGAAAGGCAAAAGCGAUUGUUGUGAGUGAAAGGCAAAAGCGAUUGAUUAGAGUGAAAGACGGGAGCAAGUAGAGGAUUUUAAUGUACUCUGGGUGUUAGACGCUGAAAGUCGGGAAUGUUAUAGCUGGUGACCUGGCUUCAGAAGUUCGCGUGGAGAAAAAUCGGUUUUAAAGGGAAUCAAGUAUUCUGCGCGAAUGGAAGGCAGGAAUUAGUUGUAAAUUCAAAACGACGAAUUCGAAAACGACACAGGGUCCGAAAUCGACCCUGGGCAACUGUGGCCACUGCAUAAAACUAAACUAGGACUUGUGUGUGGUGAGACCUGAUAACGUAGCACAAGGGUCAAAAAACCAUAAGGGGAUAGUCGGUACCUAAAUACGGCUUUAGGUCUGAUAUCUAUGGGUGAAGUGAGACCUAAUAUGGCGGAGUGAGAUACAGGUAUUGGUGUCAACAGUUACAUGAAGCAACAGAUAAAUAGGCUGUUAACUAGGGCUUUACGACCCCUGGAAAAUAGUUUAUAGUUGCAUACGUUUGCGACCUAAUGUCUGAUCGAUAGUCCCCUCUGUAGAUAAAGUUUCGAGAGAGAUAGAGUAACUAUGCUGGGAUGAGGGAUUGCGUGUGAGGAGAAUUCUGUCAAUAAAUCGCGAGAAAAAGACAGACAGUAAAAACCUAAAAAUAAAACGGGUUGCAGUGUUUGCCUAUGAGCGAGAUAAAGACCGGGUUAGGAUAGAUACGUAUAAUCAUUCUAGCAGAACAACUCUAUAUUGCGAAUAGAAGGUUAAUAACGAAAACAUAUUGCUAGAAUCAACAGUCGCAAGACAAAAGCCGUUUGUUCUUUUUGAGCGAUGAGAUAGAAGCAAUUUGUAAUAUAGCGUGCGAAUAAUUAUUCCCCAAAUUCUAGGUUAAUAACGGUAAAUAGCAUACACAUAAAGAUUAACAGCGAGUAGACACUGAUCGUAUUUGGUUUGGAGUUGUAUAAAUUAAAGCACCUAGAAUAAAAGAUAGUUUAAGGUUCUUACGAAUAAUAUUUCUAAAAUUCUAGAUUGAGAGAAGAAGCAGAAUAAAUACGAGUGUACUCUAACAACAUGGGUAGUAAAUCCUCUAAGGAAAUCCCGGUAUUAACGGGAGAUGAACGUUUUAUGCUGGGAAAAGAUAAGAGGAACAUUUAUUUUGGGCCGAAAUGGAGGAAGAAAUACGAUUUUGAUGAAUGUUUAAAUGUUGAAAGAUUGGAAUUAAGGAUAAAACAAAUACAUAGGGUCUGUGGGGAUAAGACAGAGAAGCAGCGCACAGAAGGCCUUGACACCGCUCGUGUUUGGCUGGCAGAAGCUAGGAAGAGAGUGGAGGGGGCCAGGGAUAAGGGCGUUGCUAACAAUGAUUUGGGUAGCCAGGAGCAGACAGAGAGGAGAACAGGAUUUAGCAAACUUAUUGAGAAAAGUGGAUAGAGACACUGUAGACAGAAGGGGGAAAAACAGGGAGACGCGCUGACAAAGACGGAGAGAGGAUGUGUUUUAAUAGCGAUAGAACAGGACAUUUCGCCAGAGACUGUAAAACACCCUGUGAAGAUAGUGACCGAGUAGAACACAACUACCGAAACUGUAAACAUGAACAAUAGUGGUUCAGUGGUAGAAUUCUUGCCUACCAUGCCCGGGUUCAGUUCCCAGCCCAUGCACCAUGGGACUAAAAUUGAAUUUAAUUAUUGUUAUGUUAUGACUGGAACCAUACGGUUGUUAGUGUUUGUUUAAGAUAGAAACCGAACGUUUUGAUAGCUUGUUUAGUUUAAAUAGAAAGACAGAGUCGAUAAAGUACGUUGUUUGUGGUCUAAAUGGCCUGUUUUAAGGAUUUAUAGAGAAUGGGAGUUGUAUUUGAAUGACGGAAUCAAGGAAAAGGCAGUUACCUAAAUCUAAUGAAUUAUAAGGAGCGGAAAUUAAUAAGUGCGACAGAAUUGUGGUGAUAUACAUGAUAUUUUUUUUUAAACCCUUGGACAUUUCAUAAGACUAUAAACCAACACCUAGAGAGAUUAAAGGACGUGUCCAACGCUAAUAGUGGGUUAAUAGAACCCCCGGUAGUGGAUGGAUUUGAUGCCCCAUAUUAUCAGCAAUUAAAAAUUGUUUUCCUCAGUGGAAUGCGUCCCGAGAUAAAUCGUGCCACAAAACAGAACCUCGUAGGGUGGGGGCUAGCAGAUCUGAGGGAAGUAAGCAAGGCCAGAGAGGGAGUAGAGACAGAUACAAAGAGAAGGUCAGGCGCCCCCAGCCAGACUCAGAGCAGGAGGCUUGACUAACUAUGGAGAGCGGGGGAGCAGACACUAACUAGUGAGGGGAAGGACGUUUUUCAGAAUUUAGUUAUAAACAGCGAUUGUGAAGUUUUUGAAUUGGCUACAAUUGAUUUGGCAGUACAACAAAAACAGAACCCCUAUUUGACACUAACAGUAAUGGGAGAGAUAAUACAAUUUCUGUGUGAUACUGGGGCGUGUCUUGUUUUCUGAGUUUUAAUAAACACCUGAAAUUCUUUUGAUAGGGAAUGUUCUGGGAAACCUGGGAUACAAAAUGUAGAUAACGUUCUUAGCUUUAAUUUGUUUAAUGUAGUAAGAAACACGGUUCUGAAAGGGUGGUAUGACUUUUGACCCCUCUGGUGACUUUUCCUGUGUGGUCUGAUCAGCCACAUUGAAAAGCCAUUUGGAUGGUGAAUUUAAGGUCAUUGGUGAUAUUGAUUUUAAGGGAAUUUGGAGAACUGAUAAUUAUGAUGGAGUUAAAGUUCUUAGACACAAUUGAUAAUUUGAACCAAUGAGAAGACUAAAAGGGCAAAGCCUUAGACUAAGGGUAGGCUUCUUUAAGUCUAUCUUCCUAGAACAAUAAGGGUAAAAUAAUUUUUCGUGGUGGAGUAAAUCAGAUUAGUCAUUUUGAUCUGAUGAUGUGAUUUGAAAAUAUUUUGACCAGUAGCAGGGGUAUUUUUUACAUGAUCUAGAUACGUUUAUUUUCCCUUAGGAAGUCAGCUGUUGUUGAAUUCAGUGUAAGAGAUUUAACCUGUUAGGGCUAGGGGGCAGUAUUGACACGGCUGGAUAAAAAACGUACCCGAUUUAAUCUGGUUACUACUCCUGCCCAGUAACGAGAAUAUGCAUAUAAUUAUUGGCUUUGGAUAGAAAACACUCCAAAGUUUCAAAAACUGUUUGAAUGGUGUCUGUGAGUAUAACAGAACUCAAAUGGCAGGUCAAAACCUGAGAAGAUUCUGUACAGGAAGUACCCUGUCUGACCAUUUCUUGGACUUCUUUGCCAUCUCUAUCCAUUACAAAGGAUCUCUGCUGUUACGUGACACUUCCUAUGGCUCACAUGGUGUCUCAGAAGGCGGCAAAAAGCUGAAUCGUGGCUUUGCAGGCUCUGGCUGAAAAAAAGUAGCGCGUUCGGGUAGUGGCUGGUUACAGUACUGUGAGACUCAGGCUCGUGCCCGCGUCGACCGAAUGCUUUGUUUUCUUUCCUCUGUUUACCUAAACGGAGAUUCCCGGUCGGAAUAUUAUCGCUUUUUUACGAGAAAAAUUGCGUAAAAAUGGAUUUUAAACAGCGGUUGACAUGCUUCGAAGUACGGUAAUGGAAUAUUUAGAUUUUUUUUGUCACGAAUUGCGCCAUGCUCGCGACCCUGAUUUACCAUUUCGGAUAGUGUCUAGAACGCACGAACAAAAUGCCGCUAUUUGGAUAUAACGAUGGAUUAUUUUGGACCAAACCAACAUUUGUUAUUGAAGUAGCAGUCCUGGGAGUGCAUUCUGACGAAGACAACAAAGGUAAUCAAACUUUUGUAAUAGUAAAUCUGAUUUUGGUGAAGGCUAAACUUGCUGGGUGUCUAAAUAGCUAGCCCGUGAUGGCUGGGCUAUGUACUUAGAAUAUUGCAAAAUGUGCUUUCACCAAAAAGCUAUUUUAAAAUCGGACAUAUCGAGUGCAUAGAGGAGUUCUGUAUCUAUAAUUCUUAAAAUAAUUGUUAUGCUUUUUGUGAACGUUUAUCGUGAGUCAUUUAGUAAAUUGUUAGUAAAUUCCCCGGAAGUUUGCGGGGGGUAUGCUAGUUCUGAACGUCACAUGCUAAUGUAAAAAGCUGUUUUUUGAUAUAAAUAUGAACUUGAUUGAACAAAACAUGCAUGUAUUGUAUAACAUAAUAACCUAGGGUUGUCAUCUGAUGAAGAUCAUCAAAGGUUUGUGCUGCAUUUAGCUGUGGUUUGGGUUUUUGUGACAUUAUAUGCUAGCUUGAAAAAUGGGUGUCUGAUUAUUUCUGGCUGGGUACUCUGCUGACAUAAUCUAAUGUUUUGCUUUCGUUGUAAAGCCUUUUUGGAAUCGGACAGUGUGGUUAGAUUAACGAGAGUCUUGUCUUUAAAAUGGUGUAAAAUAGUCAUAUGUUUGAGAAAUUGAAGUAAUAGCAUUUCUAAGGUAUUUGAAAAUCGCGCCACGGGAUUCAACUGGCUGUUGCGUAGGUGGGAUGAAUUCGUCCCGCCUAGCCCAGAGAGGUUAACACAACAAGGCUGUGGGAUUGAUAUAAUAGUAUUACUAUAUUUUGUUGCCACUAAGUUUAAUAAUGGUAGACUUAUGUCAACAGGACAGGGAUAUAUGACAUCUGUAGGUGAUCCAGGAUUAUUGAGGGUAUCGAGAUACAUUUAAGUAGAUAUGCAAUAUCUAGACAGGUUGAUUUUUCUAAAACUCAGGAGUGCAACCAAGGAGACAAUGAGACAUUUAGUCAAUAUUUGGAAACAACCAUAUUAUGACAAAAAGCUGGAGACAGAUAGAAGGGCAGACAGAGAGAUCCUCCCCUGCACUGCUGAAACCUUGAGGGUUGGAGAGUAGCAGGAAGAAAGGAGGGGGGCCAGCAGGAGUAGAUAGGAAGAUAAUUUGGUUCACUUAGCUUUAGGAUAUUAAUUCAUGGAGAGACUAUCGGCUCCAUAGGCAUGUAUUUUAGUUUUGAUUUUAAGUUUAUGUCUGGUAAAUCCGCUAGGAGGAUAUUAGUAUCAUUUUGUUGAAAGUAAUUGUUACCCUAACUAAAAGGGCAAUGAAAGCUUAGUUGGUUUCAGGUGUUAGACACUGACCCAUUGCCCAGACACUAUUCUGCACAGUAGGCCGAAAUAGUAGCAUUGACUAGAACUGGUGAAAUAAGAAAGGAGAGAAAAGUUACUAUUUACACAGACAAGCACAUAGACAUUUAAAACCAUACAAAGCAGCAUAGAUAAAUCUUAAAGACGAUAAGAAACUUGACAGAGGAUUGUUAAAUGAUAGCCAAGGAUGAAGGCCCCAGGAAGAAUUGGACAUGUGGAAAAUGAAAUGGGGCAUCCUACAAGAGAAGGUCUGACAUAAGGAUAAUUUACUUAUCCUACCAAAGACAUUGUAUGGAUACGCAGCAAUAUUGAUACAUAGGCUAAGCAAUGUAUCAAGGGGAGGGAAGUAUAGUAGAGUAGUUAGGAAAGAGUGAUGGCCUAGAGGAUAAUUACUUAAAAAAAUAUAUAUAUUUUGUAAGAAGAUCCAUUCCAACAUUUGGAAUUGGACUUAUUGAACUAUUCCGAAUUGAGGGGAAGAAGGGGCAUUUAACAAUAAUAGAUAAGUAUAGCAAAUGGGUAGAAGCGUUCCCAACUUACUUGGUGGACAUGAUUAUGGUAGCUAAAAUAUUAAGUCAAGAUAUUAUCCCUAGAGUUGGUUUACUAGGAGCCAUCUCUUUAAAUGAUGGAUGACAGUUUAGCAAAUCAGGUAGAGCCUAUAGAAUGCCAGAGUUAGAGAUACCAGAACAGGUAGACAUAGAAGUUGAAGAAAUACUAGCAGAGCACAUAAGAAGACUGUUUGUUAACCAAACCCGUAUGUCCAAG
rnacentral:lncRNA from 1 species